rnacentral:piRNA from 1 species
UCCACUGCUUGUGUCUGUGAGAGCACUGAA